UUAUAAUUCAAACUCGAUAAUAGCACAAAUCGACACCAGUUGAGUUUAAAAAAUACAUUUACUCAAAACUAACCAUGUGAAAAGUUAUAUAUUUCAAAAGUUUAAACAUACAAGCAGUGUUUGCUCUUUUUAUUGUAAUUUUUAUUUCGCUGUCAUUUUUAUUUUUAAUUUUUUAAUUUCGGUUUGUGAUCUUCCAAAAUUGGCUUCAAACGUCUCGACCAGGCACUGUCUUAGAUCCAAACCGCUUUUUAUCUCGUGUCUAACGUUAGAUUAAUUUAAUCUUGACAAGCUCGUAGUGAUUUGCACCUUUGAUCGGCGUACAGCUCACGAAAAUUCUGGGCGGUGGCGUUUACCGACUUUAAACUUUUUUUUUCGACCCAAGUGACAGAAGUUGUUUAUCCAUUGGCUGGAUUUGAAAAGAGGAGCAACUCCAGCUGAGUCCAGCAGAACAUGUCUGCAGGGGGCGGAGGAGAGAGUGGGG